GACGAACGCUGGCGGCGCGCCUAACACAUGCAAGUCGAACGGAGAUCAUUUGGUAGAAGUUUUCGGAUGGACACCGAGUGAUCUUAGUGGCGAACGGGUGAGUAACGCGUGAGCAAUCUGCCUCAGAGUGGGGGACAACAGUUGGAAACGACUGCUAAUACCGCAUAAGCCCACAGCACCGCAUGGUGCAGGGGGAAAAGAUUUAUUGCUUUGAGAUGAGCUCGCGUCCAAUUAGCUGGUUGGUGAGGUAACGGCCCACCAAGGCGACGAUUGGUAGCCGGACUGAGAGGUUGAACGGCCACAUUGGGACUGAGAUACGGCCCAGACUCCUACGGGAGGCAGCAGUGGGGAAUAUUGCACAAUGGGGGGAACCCUGAUGCAGCGACGCCGCGUGGAGGAAGAAGGUCUUCGGAUUGUAAACUCCUGUUGUUAGGGACGAUAAUGACGGUACCUAACAAGGAAGCACCGGCUAACUACGUG
rnacentral:rRNA from 1 species